CUACGGGUGGCUGCAGUGGGGAAUAUUGCACAAUGGGCGCAAGCCUGAUGCAGCCAUGCCGCGUGUAUGAAGAAGGCCUUCGGGUUGUAAAGUACUUUCAGCGGGGAGGAAGGGAGUAAAGUUAAUACCUUUGCUCAUUGACGUUACCCGCAGAAGAAGCACCGGCUAACUCCGUGCCAGCAGCCGCGGUAAUACGGAGGGUGCAAGCGUUAAUCGGAAUUACUGGGCGUAAAGCGCACGCAGGCGGUUUGUUAAGUCAGAUGUGAAAUCCCCGGGCUCGACCUGGGAACUGCAGCUGAUACUGGCAAGCUCGAGUCUCGUAGAGGGGGGUAGAAUUCCAGGUGUAGCGGUGAAAUGCGUAGAGAUCUGGAGGAAUACCGGUGGCGAAGGCGGCCCCCUGGACGAAGACUGACGCUCAGGUGCGAAAGCGUGGGGAGAAAACAGGAUUAGAUACCCUUGUAGUC
rnacentral:rRNA from 1 species